rnacentral:rRNA from 1 species
CGUAGGGAGCAAGCGUUGUCCGGAUUUACUGGGUGUAAAGGGUGCGUAGGCGGCUUUGCAAGUCAGAUGUGAAAUCUAUGGGCUCAACCCAUAGCCUGCAUUUGAAACUGCAGAGCUUGAGUGAAGUAGAGGCAGGCGGAAUUCCCCGUGUAGCGGUGAAAUGCGUAGAGAUGGGGAGGAACACCAGUGGCGAAGGCGGCCUGCUGGGCUUUAACUGACGCUGAGGCACGAAAGCGUGGGUAGCAA